UACGAAAUAGCUCAGUGGUAGAGUGCAUGCUUUGUAUGAUGUAUGAUGUUCGGGGUUCAAUCCCCAGCUUCUCCC